CAGAGUUGCAAACUCCCAACCAUUGUGAACCUACCUCAUCGUUGCCUCGGCGGGUGGCCCCUCCCCCUCACCCGGGGUCGGGCCGCGUCGGCACCCGGAUUCCCGGGCGCCGGCAAUCCCGUCAGAGGACCCGCAACUCUUCGUCAUCAUUGGCCUCUCUGAGUAACUUAUACAAUAAGUCA
rnacentral:misc_RNA from 1 species